rnacentral:tRNA from 1 species
GCAGAGAUGUCCGAGUGGCUAAGGAGAUUGACUAGAAAUCAAUUGGGCUCUNAAUCGUCGGUGUUCACAAUCUGUGCU